rnacentral:lncRNA from 1 species
UUGAGUAAGUUUUUAGUUUUUCUUAAAUAAUCCCUCAUUUCCUGACUUAUGUCUCUAGUUUCAGGCAGAAAUUAUAUUUUAAUCCCUCACUAGAAUGUUCUAUGGGAUUACUAUCAGAUUUUUAAAGUUCAAAUCCUCCUUAUACCCCUAUUCAUCUUCCUAAAUAACCAACCUAAGGUUUUAAUAUUCAGUUAUCUAGUUAAG